AACGAACGCUGGCGGCAUGCCUAACACAUGCAAGUCGAACGAGACCUCCGGGCCUAGUGGCUAACGGGUUCGUAACGCGUGGGAACCUGCCCUUAGGUUCGGACUAACUCCCCGAAAUGGGUCCUAAUACCUGAUAAUGUCUUCGGACCAAAGAGUUGUCGCCUUUGGAUGGGGCCGCGUUGGUUUAGCUAGUUGGUAGGGUAAAAGCCUACCAAGGCGACGAUCCAUAGCUGGACGGAGAGGAUGAUCAGCGAGACUGGGACUGAGACAAGGCCCAGACUGGUGCGGGAGGCAGCAGUGGGGGAUAUUGGGGCAUGGGCGUGAGGCUGAGACAGCGAGGCGGGGUGGGUGAUGAAGGCGUUAGGGUUGUAAAGCUCUUUGGACCGGGAUGAUAGUGACAGUACCGGGAGAAUAAGCUCCGGCUAACUACGUG
rnacentral:rRNA from 1 species